CUUUCCUACGGGGGGCAGCAGUGAGGAAUAUUGGUCAAUGGGCGGAAGCCUGAACCAGCCAAGUCGCGUGAGGGAAUAAGGCCCUACGGGUCGUAAACCUCUUUUGCCGGGGAGCAAGGGCGGGGACGUGUCCCGGCCCGGAGAGUACCCGGAGAAAAAGCAUCGGCUAACUACGUGCCAGCAGCCGCGGUAAUACGUAGGGAGCGAGCGUUGUCCGGAAUUACUGGGUGUAAAGGGAGAGUAGGCGGGCGAGAAAGUUG
rnacentral:rRNA from 1 species